rnacentral:tRNA from 1 species
GGGCCCGUAGCUCAGUGGUUAGAGCAGGGGACUCAUAAUCCCUUGGUCGGGGGUUCAAAUCCCUCCGGGCCCACCA